UGGUUCAUCAGCAUCUGGAGAGGAAGGGCAGGCGGGCCGGACAGCACUACUUGCCCUCAGCACAGUGAGUCUCUGGUGCCCUUGAAUUCUGAGAACGAGCAGCCAGCCGCUGACAUGGAAGCGUCCUCGCCAGGGGCCAGGCUGGAGAAGGAGGGCUUAGCCUCGACACC